UNUGACUUGAGUGCAGAAGGGGAGAGUGGAAUUCCAUGUGUAGCGGUGAAAUGCGUAGAUAUAUGGAGGANCACCAGUGGCGAAAGCGGCUCUCUGGUCUGUCACUGACGCUGAGGCUCGAAAGCGUGGGUAGCGANCAGGAUUAGAUACCCUGGUAGUNCACGCCGUAAACGAUGAGUGCUAGGUGUUAGGCCCUUUCCGGGGCUUAGUGCCGGAGCUAACGCAAUAAGCACUCCGCCUGGGGAGUACGACCGCAAGGUUGAAACUCAAAGGAAUUGACGGGGGCCCGCACAAGCGGUGGAGCAUGUGGUUUAAUUCGAAGCAACGCGAAGAACCUUACCAGGUCUUGACAUCCCGAUGCUAUUCUUAGAGAUAGGAAGUUACUUCGGUACAUCGGAGACAGGUGGUGCAUGGUUGUCGUCAGCUCGUGUCGUGAGAUGUUGGGUUAAGUCCCGCAACGAGCGCAACCCUUAUUGUUAGUUGCCAUCAUUAAGUUGGGCACUCUAGCGAGACUGCCGGUAAUAAACCGGAGGAAGGUGGGGAUGACGUCAAAUCAUCAUGCCCCCUAUGACCUGGGCUACACACGUGCUACAAUGGUCGGUACAACGAGUUGCGAGCCGGUGACGGCAAGCUAAUCUCUGAAAGCCGAUCUCAGUUCGGAUUGGAGGCUGCAACUCGCCUCCAUGAAGUCGGAAUCGCUAGUAAUCGCGGAUCAGCACGCCGCGGUGAAUACGUUCCCGGGCCUUGUACACACCGCCCGUCACACCACGAGAGUUUGUAACACCCGAAGUCGGUGAGGUAACCUUUUAGGGGCCAGCCGCC
rnacentral:rRNA from 1 species